UUUAAGUAAAUGUAAGACCCGUAGACUGAGUGCAGCAUGCCAGUGAGUGAUGGCUUGUUGAGUCCUGCUUUCCUGUUUCUUCUUCCAGCAGUUCAGGGUGUAUUAAUCAAAACCAGCUGCACUCUAAGAAUGUUCUGGGAGAGGGUGAAUGUAAUUAAAAUGAAGCUAAUGUGCUUUAAAAGCAGCCUGUGGUUGUUCCUUUAGUCCUCCGUGGUGGCAGUAACUGCAGCAGGGCACAGAGCACAUCCAAAAGCUGUGGGUCUAACAUGAGUCAAUGCGCUGCUUCAUCUACUUGUAACGGAGGAGGAGGAGGGCCCAUAUGGGGUUCUGGGGCCUGUAUGGGGUCUAUGGGGACUAUAUGGAGUUGUGGGGCCUCCAUGGGGAUGUGGGGCCUAUAUGGGGUCUAUGGGGCCUAUGUGGGAUUGUGGGUCUUGUAUGGAUUCUACUGGGGCCACCCCCUCCCAUUGGGAUCUGUGGGUACUGGUAUGCGGGGCCUAUGGGGCCAUAUGGGGUUGUGGGGCUUUAUAUGGGGUUGUGAGGCCUGUAUGGUGUCUAUGGGGCCCCUAUGCUUUGUGGGGCCUCUAUGGGGUCUAUGGGGCCUGCAUGGGAUUUUGUGGACUGUAUGGGGUCUAUGAAGCCUGUAUGAGGUUGUGGGGCUUGUAUGGGGUCUUUGGAGCCCAUAUUUGAUCUAUGGGGCGUGUAUGGGUUUGUGGGGCCUAUAUCGGGUCUAUGGUGCCCAUAUAGGAUUGUGGGGACUAGUAUGGGGUCUAUGGGGCCCAUAUGGGGUUGUUGGGCCUAUAUGGGUUUUGGGGCCUGUAUGGGAUUCUGUGGGGCCUAUGUGGGGUUGUGUGGCCUUUAUGGGGUCUAUGGGGCUCAUAUGUGGUUUUGGGGCCCAUAUGUUGUUGUGGAGCCUGUAUGGGGUCUAUGGGGCCCAUAUGGGGUUGUGGGUCCUAUAUGGGGUUGUGAGGCCUGUAUGGGGUCUAUGGGGCCCAUAUUCGUUUUGGGCCUGUAUGGGGUUGAUGGGGCCUGCAUGGUGUUGUGUGGACUGUAUGGGGUCUAUGGAGCCUGUAUGGUGUUGUGGGGCCUGUAUGGUGUCUUUAGGGCCCAUAUGGGAUCUAUGGGGCCUAUAUGAUGCCUAUGGGGCCCAUAUGGGGUUUUGGGGCUGGUAUGAGGUCUAUGUGGAGUUGUGGAGCCUAUAUGGGGUCAAAAAGGCCCAUAUGGGUUUUUCGGGCCUUUAUGUGGUCACUGGGGCCCAUAUAGGGUUGUGGAGCCUUUAUGGGGCUAUGGGGCCUGUAUGGGGUUUUGGGUCCUGUAUGGGGUCUAUGGGUUCCAUAUGGGUUUGUUGGGCCAAUAUGUGGUUGUGGGGCCCUUAUGGGGUCUAUGCAGCCUGUAUGGGGUUUUGGGGCCUGUAUGAUGUUGUGGGACCUGUAUGGUUUUGUGC
rnacentral:lncRNA from 1 species